GGGGGCUUAGAUCAGUGGUAGAUCGUUCGCUUUGCAUGCGAAAGGCCAGGGGUUCGAACCCCCUAGCCUCCA